rnacentral:lncRNA from 10 species
UAGUUCUGGCAGCAGCCACCAGAGCCUCAAGAGCACAGCCAAAUGGGUGGCUUUCCUGGAGAAUCUGCUGGAAGACCUAGAAGGCAUGAAAAGAUUAAGGAAAUUUUUUAAAAAGAUAUUCAAUGAAGAAAAUAUUUUGUUUUGGCUAGCAUGUAAAGAUUUCUUUUUUUAAUGCAAGAUAAGCAGAUGCAAGAAAAGGCAAAGGAGGUCUACAUGACCUUUCUUUCCAGUAAGGCCUCGCCACAAGUCAAAAAGAAUAUAUUUUCACUCAACAAAAGAUCUUUUCACUCAACAAAAAGAUCCUGGAAGAACCACAUCCUCUGAUGUUCCAGGAACUCCAGGACUGGAUUUUCAAUCUCACGAAGUACAACAGCUACAGUAGCUGCUUAAAGUUUGACUAGGUUUGUUGUUGUUUAUUUUUUAAGAGACAGGGCCUCACUCUGUCACUCCAGCAGGCAUGCAGUGGCACAAUCCUAGCUCACUGCAGCCUGGAACUUCUGGGCUCCAGCCGUCCUUCUGCCUGAGUCUCCUGAGUAGCUAGGACUACAGGUGUUCAACACCAUGCUUGGCUAAUUAAAAAAAAAAAUUUUUUUUUUGUAGAGACAGGGUCUCACUAUGUUGCACAGGCUGGUCUUAAACUCCUGGCCUCAAGUGCUCCUUCCACCCUGCUUUCUCAAAGGAUUACAGGUGUGCGCCACUGUGCCAGCCCUGAUUUGCUUUUAAAAUACAAGCAAACUGCAAAAGAAGAGAAAGUUCAACCUGAUGCUCAAACUACAGCUAGAAAAGCUUCUAGAAUUUUUAACAC